rnacentral:rRNA from 1 species
GGGAAUGCGGGGACGGAAGCGGCGGUAAUGCGGAGGGUGGAAGCGUUAAGCGGAAUUAAUGGGCGGAAAGCGGAGGCAGGCGGGUGGAUAAGUGAGAUGGGAAAGGCCCGGGCUCAACCUGGGAAGUGCAUUUAAAGCUGUCCAGCUAGAGUCUGGUAGAGGGGGGUAGAAUUCCAGGUGUAGCGGUGAAAUGCGUAGAGAUCUGGGGGAAUACCGGUGGCGAAGGCGGCCCCCUGGACAAAGACUGACGCUCAGGUGCGAAAGCGUGGGGAGCAAACAGGAUUAGAUACCCUUGUAGUC